UACGAAGGGGGCUAGCGUUGCUCGGAAUACUGGGCGUAAAGCGCGCGCAGGCGGUUUUCAAGUCAGUGGUGAAAGCCCGGAGCUCAACUCCGGAAAUGCCAUUGAAACUGUGAAACUUGAGGAUGAGAGAGGUGAGUGGAAUCCCAGUGUAGAGGUGAAAUUCGUAGAUAUUGGGAAGAACACCGGUGGCGAAGGCGGCUCACUGGCUCAUUUCUGACGCUCAGGCGCGACAGCGUGGGGAUCGAAACAGG
rnacentral:rRNA from 1 species